rnacentral:pre_miRNA from 8 species
ACUAAUAUCCUUGUGUUGUUUUGGUCUAAGGAGGUAGUAUUUUUUGUGACGUGUGAAUUCUUUCAGAUGUCUGAAAAUGUGUUUAGCUUUGAAGGCUU